rfam:Mus musculus chromosome 7, GRC primary reference assembly.
UUAUCAGUCAAGCUUCUGGCUAUAUUUCAGGACUUAUCUGGUCCUGGGUAUAACCAAAGCCUGCUUGUUUG